GGCUAUGGCGGGCGGUGCGUGGGGGCUUCCGGGCCCGCCGGACUGACAUCAACCCGGUGUUCGAACCACGUACCGCCCGCCACUUUU
rnacentral:antisense_RNA from 19 species